rnacentral:rRNA from 1 species
UACUAGCGGUCCAAGUCGCAGCCAUUUUUAUUGGGUCUAAAACAUCCGUAGCUUGCUUAAUAAGUUCCCUGUGAAAUUUUAUGUCUUAAACAUAAAGCGUGCAAGGAGUACUAUUGAGCUAGAGACUGGAAGACGUAAGAAGUAUAUUCAAAGUAGCGGUAAAAUGUUCUAAUCUUGAAUAGACUAACAAUAGCGAAGGCAUCUUACGAGGACAGUUCUGACAGUAAGGGAUGAAGGCUAGGGGCGCAAAACGGAUUAGAUACCCCCGUA